CAAAACACCAUGAACUCUCCUGUGAAAUAUGAAUUUUCAUUUCCACUUAGGAGAAGUUUUACAAUAUUUGCAUUCUCCUAUGACUGAGGAAGGGUGGGUGUGCCAGAAAGCUUGCAAUUAAAUUUUUUUUUUGCAACUAUCUAAUUGGUCUAAUAAAAGAUA